GGUUGACAGCAAGCACAGCAUGAAUGUUCUGAACAGAAUCCAGGAGCAUUUUAAUAAGAAGAUAGAAAGAUUGGACACGGAUGAUUUGGACGAGAUUGAGAAAAUAGCCAACUGAGAAGUGGCACCAUCACUGGGGCCCACCGUUGGCACUGCCCUGUUUGGGAGACCAGUGCUUUCACUGCCCAGGCCUCGACAGUCACCACAGAGACAAUGACAUGAGAAGCAAGGAACUACCUACCUCAUUUAAAAUUAUAUUUGGACUUGACAAAAAUUUAUGCAAAUGAUGGGGGAUGGUAGGAAAAAAAUUGUUUACACACCUUUGGAAGAUCAGAUGUGAAUACAUAGAAAUUUACCUUUUGGAAAUUUCGUCCUUUUUUUGGCCUGUGUGUUCCCCAUCAUUUGCUAAUCUAGAUGCUUUAGCUAAUUAUUUGCCCAGGAUCCCCUGUGGCAGCCCCUAGCUGUUCUCUAGCUUGGAGUGUCCGUGCCAGCCUCCAGCCCAUAUAGAGGUGAAGAGAGAACAUGGAGAGAGAAGCUUCAAGUAGGUUAGGUGUGUAAGCCCAGCCAUCGUGUUUGAAGUAUGGCAUGAGGCAGCAGAGGAGGCCUGUGAUCUGCUGCUUUGGACUCGGGGUAUAACAGCUCACCUGAGGGGGCCAACCCUCUCUGUCCUCAUGCUGACAGCAGGAAGGAAUUCGCUAAGCCUGGACCAAAAUGCCAAGCUCUGGGACCUUUGUAUGUGGGUUUGUGUAGGAGGACCAUGACCUGUUCCCAGCAGGUGCAAUCUGUGUAUAGUACACACCUGAUUAUUGGUGGCUCCUUUGCUUGUGCUUGAGCGAGUCCUGUGAAGAAGUCAUCAUGAAAAAUUAGUGGCGACCCUAGCUUACCACGGCAUCUGGUCUCUUGGGGCCUUGCAGCAUCUUUUUCACAUCCCUAACGUCACCUUGAACCCUUAGUAUCCCCAAGCAACUAAAAGGUGGUCUGAGGCUUAGAUCCUCAGUGAAAAUUGUGGUUUCAAGGUUCUGAUGGCCAGCCUCAAGGCAGCUCCAGAUGUGGUCAGCAGUACUCACAAAUUCUUGCUUUCUCUCCAGAUUACAGAAGGCAAGUUUUGUCAGAGCUGGGGAAUGACUUCAGAUAUUUGGCAUCUUGAUUUCGAAGGGAUUCUGAACGUCUAUGUUCACGGUGCUUGGAAUACAAACAGGUACAACUGAGGGACUAGAUGGACUUCAGCCAUUCAUCUGUCCAAAGCAAAAGUCAUUGCGAAGGCCUCCGCUCCAUCUUUACUUGGCAUGUUUGUGCAAUAUAGUCAGAAUAAGUAACAGUAAUGGAUACUUCCUCAUACCUGGCAAGGCUCUUGGUACCCACAGAGUGAAAGAGCAAAGAUGAGAUGAAACUGAAUUGCAAGAGCAAUAUGAGACCCCAGCCAAGAGGAGUCCUCUUUCUUCAGCUCUUUGGCCUUGAUACAGAGUCGCCACUUUAUCUAGGAACUGGAAGAGGAAUUUUAUGUGAUGAGAACUAUUUUAAUUCCAGAUCUUCCUUGUAGGCAUUUCUGUGUUUUAGAACCAGAUCUGUUCCCUGGGAAGGGAUGGGGCCAAUGUCAACCUCCAGGUGGUUUCCUUAAUGUGAUAUUACAGAGAGACCAGCAGACUGCCAAUUCUGCCGCAUUCUCCCAGUGCAUAUUUGACUGUACAAAAUCUUCUUUAUGCUUCUGGUCAACUGACCGAUCUUGGGAUUCUUAUAAGGAGAGAAGAAAUUUUAUGCUCCCCCUGACGUUCUGUGGACCAACCCUGAAAUAACUAAAAACAAGGGCAAUAAUUAAAGAAGUAUAGUCUCCUCACUAGGCUGCAAGCAGACUACAGCCCCUCCUUUUCCUCACAACACACAUACCUGUCUACUGUUGUAGCCAAAGUGUGAGAAGGGAAUUGGGAAGGGGUGUGCUGCAGACUCUUCCGUAGUAGGAGAAAAUGGGUAUGUGGUAGAAGUGUAGAUCAACAGUUCUUCACGUCAAUCUGGGGUAUUGAACCUCUGAGAAUUCACUGGAUAGGUUUCAUGGAGUCUAAGAAUUAUAUGCAGUAGUUUGAAUUUAAAUGCAUUUACCUGGGGAGACUCCCAGAGGAGUAUGUGUCUUUUCAAAGAUAAGACACACUGUUGAGGAUGGCUCUGGAAUGUCACCCCAGUGUCACUGCAGUCCAUAUUUCUUCACAGUCCAUAUUCAUUACUGCCAGUGCCUGGCUCCCAGGGCUUGAUGGUUCACAGCUGCCUUGUGCAGGCUAGAGAUGUCAGUGAUGUAAAAAUAUAUUGAGCUUGGUGAGCUUCGGUCCCCAUGGAUUCUUUAACUGAUUUUAGUAAGUUCCUGUAUAUGAAAUGAUAAAUUGUGCUCUAGAACAGAGAAACUCAGGAAAAGGAAAUUUUGAUCUAACGGAAAAUUCUGGAUAUAUUUAUUAUCUGUAAACAAUGGAUUUUAUUGGUUUUUUUGAGUGUCAUUCAUUGGCUAUAUGCAUAGAACUAA